rnacentral:rRNA from 1 species
UGGGGAAUUUUGGACAAUGGGGGAAACCCUGAUCCAGCCAUCCCGCGUGUGCGAUGAAGGCCUUCGGGUUGUAAAGCACUUUUGGCAGGAAAGAAACGUCGCGGGUUAAUACCCCGCGAAACUGACGGUACCUGCAGAAUAAGCACCGGCUAACUACGUGCCAGCAGCCGCGGUAAUACGUAGGGUGCAAGCGUUAAUCGGAAUUACUGGGCGUAAAGCGUGCGCAGGCGGUUCGGAAAGAAAGAUGUGAAAUCCCAGAGCUUAACUUUGGAACUGCAUUUUUAACUACCGGGCUAGAGUGUGUCAGAGGGAGGUGGAAUUCCGCGUGUAGCAGUGAAAUGCGUAGAUAUGCGGAGGAACACCGAUGGCGAAGGCAGCCUCCUGGGAUAACACUGACGCUCAUGCACGAAAGCGUGGGGAGCAAACAGGAUUAGAUACCCUGGUAGUCCACGCCCUAAACGAUGUCAACUAGCUGUUGGGGCCUUCGGGCCUUGGUAGCGCAGCUAACGCGUGAAGUUGACCGCCUGGGGAGUACGGUCGCAAGAUUAAAACUCAAAUGAAUUGACGGGGGUC